rnacentral:lncRNA from 1 species
GCUUUAUACGACCGCAGAGGUUGAACCCUGAACGGUUGGGGCAAGUAUGGACACAACAUUCAAGCUGGAUUCAGCUCUAAAUUUGGAUUGUGAUUAAAUAGUUGACACAGCAUAGGUUUCUGACACAGAAUGAAUGUGUUCUAAUGAACUUAAAAUUUUUGUUUUCUCUUAGAGCAAUUCACUAUGCUGUUGAAUAUUAAUCCUCUCAAAAAAAUGUUUGAAGAAAUUUUCUUU